rnacentral:rRNA from 1 species
AUGUCGCUCCGGCGCCUCCUGGGCCUCCCCGCCGCCGUCUCCGGCCGCCUAAGCCGCUCCCUAUCCACCUCCACGGCUGCCUCCUCCCGUCCUCCCUGGAUCUUGGUCGACCAGGCGACAACGGCCAUCGGGUCGGCAGUACUCGGCGCGUCCGUGCGCAUCGUCGAGCCCCCGCGCUUUUCCGCCCUCACCGUGCCGGCGCUCCUGGUCGACACCAGCGCCGGCCCCGACCCCGACAGCGACGUCACGCAACUCCUCGUCGGCCGCGUGUGCUCCACCAGCGCCGACGGCCUCCUCCUCAUCACCGUCUACGAUGUCCGCGCCACGGCUCCCAUCCUCGCCACGCAGGGUGCCAAUCAUGUGCGCCGGGCCACCGGCCUCGACCCCGAGCACGACCCAGCCACCACGCGCUUCCUCUGCAACCCUGUCACCGGCCAACUGACCCGCCUCCCGGUCAUCGACGUCGUCCCGAAGAAGCUCUUGUGCGGCCCUCACAUGGGCGUCCUCACCCAAGCCGGUCGCGGGCAGGGGCCAUCCUCCGCGCCGUCCGGGUCAGAGAUGGAACCGCCGAUCGCGCACAGGGACCACCGCCGCCUGCACAUGCUGGAGCGCCGUCGAGAGACCAGCGCCCGCCACCGCUUGCCGAGGGCCACCGCCACGCGCCCUGAGCGGACUCCGCCAAAAUUCGGCAAUCUCGGCCUGGGCGAAAAAAAUAAUCUCAAACUAAAAAUCAAAACGAUGGGAUGCGACGCUCGCCACCGACCCUUGGACGCGACGCUCUUCGUCUACAACCCUCUCAGUGGGCAGCUGUUCUGCCUCCCCGUCCACAGCAUGGAUGCCGCUUUGCGACCGCGCCCUUCGGCCUGCUCACCCAAUCCCACAGUUCCCCCCUUUCGCCGACGGCAUUCGCUUCACCACCACAAGCAUCCGCGACGGGCUCCUCUUCCUAGACUUCUCCGACACCCGCCGCUGCCUUGCGGCUAUCUGCAACUUCUGCUGCGGUCCCGGAUCAGCCGCGUCUGGCACCAUGAGCCACAACAGGCUGCCCCUCUAUGCCGAGACCCGGCAUGCGACCAUCGGCAACUACUGCGACAGUCCCGGCUUGGCCGCAUGUGCCACCGCCGUCGUACCGGGCGUCAGGCGCUUCGUCUGCAACACCCUUAG